rnacentral:rRNA from 1 species
UGCGUAGGUGGCGCGCUAAGUCAGGUGUGAAAUUUCGGAGCUUAACUCCGAAACUGCAUUUGAUACUGGCGUGCUUGAGGACUGGAGAGGAGACUGGAAUUCAUGGUGUAGCAGUGAAAUGCGUAGAGAUCAUGAGGAAGACCAGUGGCGAAGGCGGGUCUCUGGACAGUUCCUGACACUGAGCACGAAGGCCAGGGGAGCAAACG